rnacentral:rRNA from 1 species
AUGGCGAAGAAGGCCGCAAAGCGAGCUGUUGGUGAAGCAAGGGGUCGGGCAUAUGAGGACCUCUACCAACGGUUAGGCACGAAGGAAGGUGAAAGGGACAUCUAUAAGAUGGCUAAGAUCCGGGAGAGGAAGACGAGGGAUAUUGGCCAAGUCAAAUGCAUCAAGGACGGAGCAGGCCAACUCUUGGUGAAGGACGAAGAGAUUAAGCAUAGAUGGCGGGAGUACUUCGACAAGCUGUUCAAUGGGGAGAAUGAGAGUUCUACCAUUGAACUGAAUGACUCCUUUGAUGAGACCAGCAUGCAUUUUGUGCGGCGCAUCCAGGAGUCUGAGGUGAAGGAGGCUUUAAAAAGGAUGAAAGGAGGCAAGGCGAUGGGCCCUGAUUGUAUCCCCAUUGAGGUGUGGAAAGGUCUCGGGGACAUAGCGAUAGUAUGGCUAACCAAGCUUUUCAACCUCAUUUUUUGGGCAAACAAGAUGCCAGAAGAAUGGAGACAAAGUAUAUUAGUACCAAUCUUCAAGAACAAGAGGGAUGUUCAGAGUUGUACUAAUUACCGUGGAAUUAAGCUGAUGAGCCAUACAAUGAAGCUAUGGGAGAGAGUCAUUGAGCACCGCUUAAGAAGAAUGACAAGCGUGACCAAAAAUCAGUUUGGUUUCAUGCCUGGGAGGUCGAUCAUGGAAGCCAUUUUCUUGGUACGACAACUUAUGGAGAGAUAUAGGGAGCAUAAGAAGGACUUGCAUAUGGUGUUCAUUGACUUGGAGAAGGCCUAUGAUAAGAUACCGCGGAAUGUCAUGUGGUGGGCCUUGGAGAAACACAAAGUCCCAGCAAAGUACAUUACCCUCAUCAAGGACAUGUACAAUAAUGUUGUGACAAGUGUUCGAAUAAGUGAUGUCGACGCCGAUGACUUCCCGAUUAAGAUAGGACUGCAUCAGGGGUCAGCUUUGAGCCCUUAUCUUUUUGCUUUGGUGAUGGAUGAGGUCACAAGGGGUAUACAAGGAGAUAUCCCAUGA